rnacentral:rRNA from 1 species
AUACGGAGGGUGCAAGCGUUACUCGGAAUCACUGGGCGUAAAGCGCGCGCAGGCGGGCUGAUGAGUUGGAUGUGAAAGCCUACGGCUCAACCGUAGAACUGCAUCCAAAACUAUUAGACUAGAGUGUGGGAGAGGAAGAUGGAAUUAGUUGUGUAGGGGUAAAAUCCGUAGAGAUAACUAGGAAUACCAAAAGCGAAGGCAAUCUUCUGGAACACUACUGACGCUGAGGCGCGAAAGCGUGGGGAGCAAACAGGAUUAGAAACCCUAGUAGUCC